AUGUUGCUUGGCCAUCAAUGUAAACAAAUCUCAUUUAUAAACUCUAACUAUCCCCCACCUUCUUCACUAGAAUAUAUACUGUGAUUUGUACGGUUAUGCCUUCAAUCCCUUUUCCCUGUUUCUUUGUUCCAAUCUUUUAAUCCAGGAAUGUAGUCAUUAAUCAUUUUAUAGUGGCAGCAUUGGAGAAAAGAUGAGACCAACAUCUUAUGUACAACGUUUGGAUUUUAAAUGGGUAUCAACAGGCAUCAUCCAUCUCUCACUUCCAAAUUCUAUUGAAACUAAUUGGUCCUACGAUUAGCAUUCUAAUGUUGUUCAAGACAUUGGUAUGCUAAUUACUUAAUGAUCUACAUGUUAAUUGGGAAUGGUGAUGGUAGUGGUGAAUUACUGCAUGCGUGGAACGUAGAACAAUGAAUAAGACAGAUACAGAAGAAGGGAAGGAAACUCGGUGGAGGCACUAGCCUAUCAGUUGCACACACUCACGGACAGAGAUCUAUAGUCUGGAAAAAUAAAGGACAAUUGUCACCACCGUUUCGUCUUCUGGGUAUUCAAUGGAGUUCAAUAUUAGUUAUACUCAUUUUAGCAGCCUAUGGUGUAAAAUCUCAAAAUCAUUUUCCCUCACUGUCGUCGACUGAAGAGUGGAAAUUGUAGUCUUUUGGUGGGAAUUCAGCUAUUUUCGGGGAAGAAGAAAUAAGGUUUCUACUGAUUCGGGCUUCUUCCAAGUAUGCGUGGGUUGGUCCUACUACUGGAUACGGCCUAAGGCUGAAUUCCUGUCUUCUUCCGUUUAUGGUUUAUCCUCUUAUUUUAUGUUAUUAAUCAUGCAUUUGUUUCAUAUGAUUACUGGACACGGUAGAUUGGGUUGCUUACAUGUAGAUUUGAAAAUUUUAUCAGUUAAUGUCAUAUGCUGAUUUUGUGAUUAAAUUCCAUCAGUUUAAUAUUGUGAGGAUUUUUGAUUAACCUCAAGUAUUUUGAAAUAUGUGAUGACUUUAUAGGAUUAUUGAAAAUGAUCUUUAAACAGCUCAUAAUAUUUAACUCAUCUCCCCUAUUCAAAUCUGUUCGUUUUGUUUCUCACAUCGCUGCAAUUUGUUUUUGUGCAUUUGCUUAUUUUACCAGUUGUCUGACAUCUUUAACCUUUUUAUGAUUUUGCAAGGUAAGCAUCAACAGAAUAACUUUAACUUCUCAGUUAAUUUUGGGCACAAAAUUAUUAUGAUGUUGAAGAAAUGUGUUGUGCAAAAGAGUCGUUCGAGAUUAUUGAAAUAUAUGAUGUUUAGGUACGUAUUCCUGGGGUUCGGAGUGGUAGUAUUAGUUGGUAGAGGAAUAAAUUUACAGGAAAGAAAAAUGUUGUUGAAGGAUCAUUAAAGCUUAGACACUAAUAGGCUGCUUCGAAAUUUCCGUGAUUUGGAGAGUUAGAGCCAAGAUAGGAUGGAUAUAGUCUGGUUCAGACUGAAAGGUUGACACUAAUAUGCUGAACAUGGUAUUCGACGAUGGUUAGUUGUAUGUAGCACAGCAUUGUUCAAAUUUCUGGAUUUGGGUUUGACUAGGAACCAACCAUUUCUGGAUUGGGUGUAAAUAUUCCCAUUUUUUUACAUGGUUAACCAUGGUGAUUGAGUAUUUAAUGUUCAAAUUAAGUGUAAAUAAAUAUGGGAGAUUUGGUUUAGCAUAGCUAAGUAGUGGCUUGCAACUUUGAGAUUGCAUUUGUGUAGAGUGUUCAUAUGCCGCGUGGAAACAAUGAUCUGAGUAUUGACUGAUAGUCUGAUACAUUCAUAGUAGGAAACUGGCAGCCCAGCUUUUUUUAGAAGGU